UCAGUUUUAUAACUCAUCCAUGGUUUCAAAGUGAGGGAGGGAUUUGUGAAUUGUUUUGGCGGUAACAGGACACAAACCACGGAACUCCAGCUUCAUAGUGCAACACGCUAAUCAUUGGGCAGUGCUCGCUUCCAUAGCAACCACAGCUAUUCACUGGUAUUCGGUUUCAUCAAUAUCAAAAGGAUAAGUUUAAAAUAUCCGUAAGAACGCAGAUUCCGGAAUUGUACCGCACAGAAUAAUUUCGAAUUUGGAGGAAAAACAAACGCAGAUGAGUAACAAACCUAUCAAUGAUGGCAAGUUAUGUCAUAUAUGAGUCUUAAGGCAGGGGUACAACAUAUCAAAAACCAAACCAGAUAUGA